GCUGCCAGGAGAAGGACCCGCCUCUUCUUUCGGCAGGUGCAGCAUGUCCGGCGUCUUCCAGGGGACCCUGAAGGACUCCCGGGAGGUCAGGGAAGCCAGGCUCAAGCUGGAGGGCAUGGCCCAGCUGGCGGAGAGGAACCGGGACCUGCAGCUGCUGCAGGAGGGGAAGAUCAGCCCGGCCAAGAAGCGGCCCCUCUCCAAGGAGAUGCGGGAGGAGGCCUUCAGGCGCUACCUGCGCUGCUUCUACAAGGAGCAGCUCAGCCUGCAGAUUCCUGAAGAGGAUCCCUUCGACGCCGAUGAGGUGCUGGAAUGCCUGGGCCAGAUGGAGCCGCUCUCUGCCCUCUGGGGACCCUCCAUUUCCCACAUGUUCCUGAGCGGCUUUGCUAAGCCCAGGAGCCUCAAAAUGAGCAGCUCUCUCUUUGUGGUAAUGGGCCUUCCCCCUCUCUCGGGGGGUCCCAGGCUGUCUGGGGUGUG
rnacentral:lncRNA from 1 species